AUUCCAGCUCCAAUAGCGUAUAUUAAAGUUGUUGCGGUUAAAAAGCUCGUAGUUGGAUUUCUGCCGAGGACGACCGGUCUGCCCACUGGGUGUGUAUCUGGUUCGGCCUGGGCAUCUUCUUGGAGAACGUAUCUGCACUUGACUGUGUGGUGCGGUAUCCAGGACCUUUACUUUGAGGAAAUUAGAGUGUUUCAAGCAGGCACACGCCUUGAAUACAUUAGCAUGGAAUAAUAAGAUAGGACCUCGGUUCUAUUUUGUUGGUUUCUAGAACUGUGGUAAUGAUUAAUAGGGAUAGUUGGGGGGUGCUAGUAUUGAGCGGCCAGAGGUGAAAUUCCUGGAUUCGCUCAAGACUAACUUAUGCGAAAGCAUUCACCAAGGAUGUCUUCAUUA
rnacentral:rRNA from 1 species